UCUGCCAAUGAAACAUCCCGCGCCCUGCGGCCCGCGUCCACCCAAUACAUCGCUUCCCUUACCUAAAAAAAUUCCCUUCCCGAAGGAAAAUACAAUCCGAACGUGGAGGACCCAUGGUUAGCGAUGGAAGUUAGGGUUAGGGCGCUGCCACACUGGCCCAUACCUUCAUCCGCCAUCCGUCCUGCUCCCCCUCCCACCAUCGCUUUGCCGCCGCCCCCAUGUUCUACCCGAUGCGCCGGCACGACGCGCCCGGCAGGCCGGUCUUGCCUUGCCGUCCACCCACACAUCUCCUCCCUCGGAUUCUGGCGAGCUGCGGCGGCAACCACGGUGAACUGCCAUGGGUGCGGCCAAUCCGAGCUCCAGUUCAGGCAGGUCAACCAUGUCUCCACGAUGGCGCGGGCUAACCUGGUGGUGCCGGACGCUGCUAGUCUCGGUCGUGGCGUGAUUGUGUGGAUGACGCUCAGCAUGUCCCUGUAAGCGCCGGCUACUGCUGCUCUCCGCCCCCAUACCCCAACCAAUCACGGUUAGUGCUAAUGGAGAAGAACCUGUUGUUCCUGGAGGCAUGGCAGGCACUCCACCAUGCUACCACCAUUAGUCUCAUCCGUGACGAGCUGGUGAACACGUGAGACAUGACAUGUCUGAUUCCAGUUGUGCAAAGUCUGCUUAUGCUGCAACCUUGGUCUAUCCUUCACUCGAUUCUUGAAACUGUUUGCGUUUUCUGAAACUUCCUACAUUAGGAGACACUUGCCCCAGAUCCAAUUCGUCGAUGGAGUUAGAACAAUUCCGUACAACAGAGUCUUAGGUCUCUGCCAAUUAUUGUUUGUCUUUUGAGGUGAAUGUAGCUGCUGGUCAUGCUUUAACCACACGUCAAUUGCAGGAGUGCGACAGCGCCAUCCUGUUCCACAAACCAUGUGAAGAAU